GACGAACGCUGGCGGCGUGCUUAACACAUGCAAGUCGAACGCUGAAGCUCAGCUUUUGUUGGGUGGAUGAGUGGCGAACGGGUGAGUAACACGUGAGUAACCUGCCUCCUUCUUUGGGAUAACGCCCGGAAACGGGUGCUAAUACUGGAUAUUCACUGGUCUUCGCAUGGGGGUUGGUGGAAAGGGUUUUUCUGGUGGGGGAUGGGCUCGCGGCCUAUCAGCUUGUUGGUGGGGUGAUGGCCUACCAAGGCUUUGACGGGUAGCCGGCCUGAGAGGGUGACCGGUCACAUUGGGACUGAGAUACAGCCCAGACUCCUACGGGAGGCAGCAGUGGGGAAUAUUGCACAAUGGGCGCAAGCCUGAUGCAGCGACGCCGCGUGAGGGAUGGAGGCCUUCGGGUUGUGAACCUCUUUCGCUCAUGGUCAAGCCGCAACAAUGGUUGUGGUGAGGGUAGUGGGUAAAGAAGCGCCGGCUAACUACGUG
rnacentral:rRNA from 1 species